AUUGAACGCUGGCGGCAUGCCUUACACAUGCAAGUCGAACGGCAGCACGGGAGCAAUCCUGGUGGCGAGUGGCGAACGGGUGAGUAAUAUAUCGGAACGUGCCCAGUCGUGGGGGAUAACGCAGCGAAAGCUGUGCUAAUACCGCAUACGAUCUACGGAUGAAAGCGGGGGAUCGCAAGACCUCGCGCGAUUGGAGCGGCCGAUAUCAGAUUAGCUAGUUGGUGGGGUAAAGGCCCACCAAGGCGAGGAUCCGUAGCUGGUCUGAGAGGACGACCAGGCACACUGGAACUGAGACACGGUCCAGACUCCUACGGGAGGCAGCAGUGGGGAAUUUUGGACAAUGGGCGCAAGCCUGAUCCAGCAAUGCCGCGUGCAGGAUGAAGGCCUUCGGGUUGUAAACUGCUUUUGUACGGAAAGAAACGGCCCUUUCUAAUACAGGGGGCUAAUGACGGUACCGUAAGAAUAAGCACCGGCUAACUACGUGCCAGCCGCCGCGGUAACAC
rnacentral:rRNA from 1 species